GGCCUUGCGCUCUUUGAGCGGCCGAUGUCAGAUUAGCUAGUUGGUGAGGUAAAGGCUUACCAAGGCGACGAUCUGUAGCGGGUCUGAGAGGAUGAUCCGCCACACUGGAACUGAGACACGGUCCAGACUCCUACGGGAGGCAGCAGUGGGGAAUUUUGGACAAUGGGGGCAACCCUGAUCCAGCCAUGCCGCGUGAGUGAAGAAGGCCUUCGGGUUGUAAAGCUCUUUCGGCCGGGAAGAAAUCGCAUGGGCCAAUACCCUGUGUGGAUGACGGUACCGGAAUAAGAAGCACUGGCUAACUACGUGCCAGCAGCCGCGGUAAUACGUAGGGUGCGAGCGUUAAUCGGAAUUACUGGGCGUAAAGCGUGCGCAGGCGGUUUUGUAAGACAGGCGUGAAAUCCCCGGGCUUAACCUGGGAACUGCGUUUGUGACUGCAAGGCUAGAGUACGGCAGAGGGGGGUGGAAUUCCACGUGUAGCAGUGAAAUGCGUAGAGAUGUGGAGGAACACCAAUGGCGAAGGCAGCCCCCUGGGUCGAUACUGACGCUCAUGCACGAAAGCGUGGGUAGCAAACAGGAUUAGAUACCCUGGUAGUCCACGCCCUAAACUAUGUCAGCUAGGUGUUGGGUGGGUAAAACCAUUUAGUACCGUAGCUAACGCGUGAAGUUGACCGCCUGGGGAGUACGGCCGCAAGGUUAAAACUCAAAGGAAUUGACGGGGACCCGCACAAGCGGUGGAUGAUGCGGAUUAAUUCGAUGCAACGCGAAAAACCUUACCUACCCUUGACAUGCCAGGAACUUGCCAGAGACGGCUUGGUGCCCGAAAGGGAGCCUGGACACAGGUGCUGCAUGGCUGUCGUCAGCUCGUGUCGUGAGAUGUUGGGUUAAGUCCCGCAACGAGCGCAACCCUUGUCGUUAAUUGCCAUCAUUUAGUUGGGCACUUUAACGAGACUGCCGGUGACAAACCGGAGGAAGGUGGGGAUGACGUCAAGUCCUCAUGGCCCUUAUGGGUAGGGCUUCACACGUCAUACAAUGGUCGGUACAAAGGGUUGCCAAGCCGCGAGGCGGAGCCAAUCCCAGAAAGCCGAUCGUAGUCCGGAUUGCAGGCUGCAACUCGCCUGCAUGAAGUCGGAAUCGCUAGUAAUCGUGGAUCAGCAUGUCACGGUGAAUACGUUCCCGGGUCUUGUACACACCGCCCGUCACACCAUGGGAGCGGGUUCCGCCAGAAGUAGGUAGCCUAACCGCAAGGGGGGCGCUUACCACGGCGGGGUUCGUGAC
rnacentral:rRNA from 1 species